rnacentral:rRNA from 1 species
UACGUAGGGGGCAAGCGUUGUCCGGAUUUAUUGGGCGUAAAGAGCUCGUAGGCGGCUCGGUAAGUCGGAUGUGAAACCUCCAGGCUCAACCUGGAGACGCCAUCUGAUACUGCCGUGGCUUGAGUCCGGUAGAGGAGCAGGGAAUUCCUGGUGUAGCGGUGAAAUGCGCAGAUAUCAGGAGGAACACCAAUAGCGAAGGCAGCUCGCUGGGACGGUACUGACGCUAAGGCGCGAAAGCGUGGGGAGCGAACAGG